GGGAAGGUGGCUCAGUGGUAGAGUGCUUGCCUUGCAUGCAUAAGGCCCUGGGUUCGAUUCCUCACCACCACA
rnacentral:tRNA from 1 species